AAUUCCACGUGUAGCAGUGAAAUGCGUAGAGAUGUGGAGGAAUACCAAUGGCGAAGGCAGCCCCCUGGGAUAAUACUGACGCUCAUGCACGAAAGCGUGGGGAGCAAACAGGAUUAGAUACCCUGGUAGUCCACGCCCUAAACGAUGCUGACUAGUUGUUCGGGAAUUUAUUCCUGAGUAACGUAGCUAACGCGUGAAGUCAGCCGCCUGGGGAGUACGGUCGCAAGAUUAAAACUCAAAGGAAUUGACGGGGACCCGCACAAGCGGUGGAUGAUGUGGAUUAAUUCGAUGCAACGCGAAAAACCUUACCUACCCUUGACAUGCCACUAACGAAGUA
rnacentral:rRNA from 1 species